rnacentral:rRNA from 1 species
AUCAGAAGUGCGAAUGCUGACAUAAGUAACGAUAAAGCGGGUGAAAAGCCCGCUCGCCGGAAGACCAAGGGUUCCUGUCCAACGUUAAUCGGGGCAGGGUGAGUCGACCCCUAAGGCGAGGCCGAAAGGCGUAGUCGAUGGGAAACGGGUUAAUAUUCCCGUACUUGGUGUUACUGCGAAGGGGGGACGGAGAAGGCUAUGUUGGCCGGGCGACGGUUGUCCCGGUUUAAGCGUGUAGGUAUGUGUUCCAGGUAAAUCCGGUUCACUUUAACACUGAGGCGUGACGACGAGGCACUACGGUGCUGAAGCAACAAAUGCCCUGCUUCCAGGAAAAGCCUCUAAGCAUCAGGUAACAUCAAAUCGUACCCCAAACCGACACAGGUGGUCAGGUAGAGAAUACCAAGGCGCUUGAGAGAACUCGGGUGAAGGAACUAGGCAAAAUGGUGCCGUAACUUCGGGAGAAGGCACGCUGACACGUAGGUGAAGUGAUUUACUCACGGAGCUGAAGUCAGCCGAAGAUACCAGCUGGCUGCAACUGUUUAUUAAAAACACAGCACUGUGCAAACACGAAAGUGGACGUAUACGGUGUGACGCCUGCCCGGUGCCGGAAGGUUAAUUGAUGGGGUCAGCGCAAGCGAAGCUCCUGAUCGAAGCCCCGGUAAACGGCGGCCGUAACUAUAACGGUCCUAAGGUAGCGAAAUUCCUUGUCGGGUAAGUUCCGACCUGCACGAAUGGCGUAAUGAUGGCCAGGCUGUCUCCACCCGAGACUCAGUGAAAUUGAACUCGCUGUGAAGAUGCAGUGUACCCGCGGCAAGACGGAAAGACCCCGUGAACCUUUACUAUAGCUUGACACUGAACAUUGAGCCUUGAUGUGUAGGAUAGGUGGGAGGCUUUGAAGUGUGGACGCCAGUCUGCAUGGAGCCGACCUUGAAAUACCCCCCUUUAAUGUUUGAUGUUCUAACGUGGACCCGUGAUCCGGGUUGCGGACAGUGUCUGGUGGGGAGUUUGACUGGGGCGGUCUCCUCCUAAAGAGUAACGGAGGAGCACGAAGGUUGGCUAAUCCUGGUCGGACAUCAGGAGGUUAGUGCAAUGGCAUAAGCCAGCUUGACUGCGAGCGUGACGGCGCGAGCAGGUGCGAAAGCAGGUCAUAGUGAUCCGGUGGUUCUGAAUGGAAGGGCCAUCGCUCAACGGAUAAAAGGUACUCCGGGGAUAACAGGCUGAUACCGCCCAAGAGUUCAUAUCG